AUACUUCCCUAGCAGGGGAGAGCCUAUGAUCCCAGGGUGGUUUUCUCAGGGCAAGGCUUAUUUUUUGUGGUCUGGCUGUGCUGACCCUGAUUAUUUCUCCAAAAAUGGGAAACUUGUCUGUAUAAUUUGUGGGAGUGAGGGACUGCAUUUGCGCUCUCAUC
rnacentral:snRNA from 1 species